GUGUCAGCAGCCGCGGUAAGACAGAGGCCACAAGCGUUAGGCGGAAUCACUGGGCUUAAAGCGUGUGUAGGCGGACUUCUAAGUACCUUGUGAAAUCCCACGGCUCACCCGUGGAACUGCUUGGUAUACUGGGAGUCUUGAGGUGUCCAGGGGCAGCCGGAACAAGCGGUGGAGCGGUGAAAUGCGUAGAUAUCGCUUGGAACGCCCGCGGUGAAAACGGGCUGCUGGGGACAAUCUGACGCUGAGACACGAAAGCCAGGGGAGCAAACGGGAUUAGAUACCCUCGUAGUCC
rnacentral:rRNA from 1 species